GAUGAAGAACGUAGCGAAAUGCGAUAAGUAAUGUGAAUUGCAGAAUUCAGUGAAUCAUCGAAUCUUUGAACGCACCUUGCGCCCUUUGGCUAUUCCGAAGGGCAUGCCUGUUUGAGUAUCAUGAACAUCUCAACUCCUCACGGUUCGCCCGUGACGAGCUUGGACUUUGGGGGUCUUGCCGGCCUGCGGGUCGGCUCCUCUCAAAUGAAUCAGCUUGCCGGUGUUUGGUGGCGUCACAGGUGUGAUAAAUAUCUACGCUUGUGGUUUUCCGCCAGGUAACCUCCAGCGAUGGGGGUUCACUGGAGCUCACGAAUGUCUCUCCUCGGUGAGGACAGCUCUUUGAACGUUUGAUCUCAAAUCAGGUAGGGCUACCCGCUGAACUUAAGCAUAUCAAUACGCGGAGGA
rnacentral:misc_RNA from 1 species